UUGCGCUCGCUUCACUCGCGCCCGUCGGCGCGGCUCGUUCUGCUCGCCGCUCGUGGCUGACUGGCAGAGCUUCCCACCCGCGGAUGGCGCCAGGCAUCCGUGCCGCGCCUAUUACCGCGCUCUUCUACGACACUAGGCAAAACAUGUCACAUCCUG
rnacentral:rRNA from 1 species